rnacentral:rRNA from 1 species
UACGAAGGGUGCAAGCGUUACUCGGAAUUACUGGGCGUAAAGCGUGCGUAGGUGGUUUGUUAAGUCUGUUGUGAAAGCCCCGGGCUCAACCUGGGAAUGGCAAUGGAUACUGGCAAGCUAGAGUGCGGUAGAGGGUAGUGGAAUUCCCGGUGUAGCGGUGAAAUGCGUAGAGAUCGGGAGGAACACCAAUGGCGAAGGCAGCUCGCUGGGACGGUACUGACGCUGAGACGCGAAAGCGUGGGGAGCAAACAGG